AUAGAGCCUCUAUCCAGUUCGAGUAUCUAUCUAGUAGUUGCUCUUAGUGAAAAAUGAAACUUGGGAAAAUAAAUUUUUGUUGAGAGAUUGUAGCCGUUGAGGACAAACAAGCAUAAGCAGGUUAUGCUUAUCGCAAGAUCUAUUAAUUUCCAGUGGGAGGGGAAAGCGAGUGGUUGCCAAGGGAGGUACUGCUCAGUUCUCUUAAGUCAGGAAAUGAAUGACAGUUUCAAUAGCAGCUGCUGGGCCUGGGCCGGGCCUACCACUCCCAGCCAACACAGCCCAAGCUCCCUGGCACAGACCCACAGCAUGGCCAGGGUAGGCAUUGUGGAUGCAGCCCUGGGCGGCAAGCAGUUCCUCUUUGAGGAUCACCCCAGCCUGUUGCCAGACCAGGGUAUAGGCCAGGCAGAGGUUCCACUGCCAGCUUUGGUUCUCUCUGUCUAGGGGUCUGCGUCCCUGGCCCAAGGAGAGGUCCUGGAGGGACACUUGGCUGGAGCCUUGCGUCUUCAGCUGCCACUUCGUAUUACGGUCUUGUAAGACCAGUGCUUUCUUCCUGUUUUUCCCAGGUGCUCUGCUCUGGAUUGCUGGUAGGUAAACUGCUAAACCCAUUCUGAGUAACCACUUCAUUAUAGUUACUGGGAGAGGGUCUCCUUAUGGUUGUGGGAGAGGGUGCUCCCUAAAACAGGGCUUGAUGUUCAGGGGCCCUGCCCCACAUUUGGGGAGGGUCUGGUAGUCUUUAUGUUUGUUUUUCUCUGUCCUUCUGAGAGGUGAGGCUAGAUGGAAAGAUUGAGGGAGACGGGGAAGAGGUGAAAGCAGCAGGCCUGGAGUUCAGAAUCAGUUGCUCUGCAGUUUUGGGGUGCGUGGUUUCAUUUGAUUUUGCAGAAGGGCUGCAGGUACACGUGGGCUAGCCCGAGAGGACAAUACGCACUGGCAUGGAGAUUGUGAGGCACACUGAUUCCAUUACUCACAGGCCAAGUUGCUCCCUGUUGGGGAAGGAACCAUUGUUCUACUAACUUGUUCCACUGCAGGGUCUGGCCAGAGACAUCUGCCAAGAUUGUAAGGCUCCCUGAUUGCAUAUGUGACAAGCAUUUUCUCUCAACAACGCAUGGAGGCUGGGGAAGCCCGGGAUGAGCUGUCAUCCUGAGGAACAGGCUUGGGGCAGGUGCUGAUGAGCGUGACUAAUCCUGGUGCGGCGCAGACCCCCGCCUUGGAUAUGCAGCCCUGACUUCUUAUAGAAUGCAGGUGUGUGUGUUGCUGGGCCCAGAGAGCCUGGAUCCUAGGCAUACUUCUCUUUUGUAUCUGGGCCUACCUAAGAAUUUACUUUCUCUGAGUUCACUGAUAUGAUUGUGGGCCUCUGGGGCCAGGGGAACGAGGAGGCAAAGAAUGCAAAUUUGACACCUUGUGAGAUGAUUCUAAAGCAACACUGAGCCACCAGCUUUUAAACAUUUGUCUUUGGCACUACCUGUUCUUUGGUCUAUUGGAAGCUGAUACCAGUUGCCUUUGUGUGAUAAAUUUGGACUUCUGUGCAGCAGUUGAGGAAGAAACUCUUGAGCAGCCGCGGGUUGUGGCUACGUGCCCUGAGUGCCGUGCCCUGAGCACGUACCCUGAGUGCCGUGUCCUGAGUGCUGUGCCCUGAGCCGGCCCGAACUGUGCAGCCAGCCAUGUAUGCUGGAGCAGGACCUUGAGUGUUUUGGACCUUUAUUUUGCAAGGGUGAGUUGAAAAUGGAAAAAAGACAUUGCUAAUUGUAGUUAGAAGAAGGGUAGCUCUUCUAACAUUGAUAUAAUUAAGGAAAAGCUUUUGAAAAUUCAGUGGGCAUGCCAGAAGUGGGGAAUUGUUCGUGUCAGGUGAACACUCGCUGAGUCAACAGCCCUGUGUAAUUGUGAAUACGAAUAAACAGAAUUAAAGAAUAAUAUAUAAAACUGCCAAACUGUAUUGACCAAGAUCGUAUCUAAAAGGCAGAGUAUAAUUAGGCAUUUUACAAUCUUGUUUGGCUCAGAGGACAUGACUUCCUUAUAGUACAUGUAAACCUAUUAUUUGACUUUGGGGGGCCCUUUUAGGGAAAUGGGGGGACUACCUAUAACCAGCUUCUGGAAUAACAAAGAGUUAUGCAAAAAUAAAAGCUUCUCUGUAAGUGUGCAAGGCCUUUCCAGGACUGAGAGCCCGUCCUUUAGAAUUCAUUCUGUGUUGACCUCCUCUCUGAUGUAUUAAUGCCUUUACCCCUCAUUGUAUUCAUUUAUAUGCUAAUGUCUACCAUCUCUUUUCC